AUGGUCUCCAGCCUAAAGACAUCACACCAAAGAUCUUUGAAGUGUCCAAGAAGAAGGCAUGUUUGGUUAACAAGGUCCUUGACAACAACUUCUAGAUCCAGCAAAUCGACACAACUCAGGGAUUGGAAAUUCACUUCCAGUGGCGACUAUUCGGCGGCUACGGCGUACACGACGCAGUUCGAGGGCCAAGUUCUCAGCUCAACCUCUCCCACAAUCUGGAGGAAUUGGGCUCCCCCAAAAUGCAAAUUCUUCACUUGGCUUAUCAUCCAAAAUCGUGUGUGGACGGUAAAUCGGUUACAACGGCGAGGUUGGCCAAACUGCGGACUUUGUCCCCUAUGCAAACAAGUCCAAGAAUCUGCCGCCCAUCUUCUUUUCCAAUGUAGAUUCACCACCCGCGUCUGGACCGAGGUGGUCAACUGGCUUGGCAUUCAGGACCACUCACCGCUGACUUGGCGCCACGAAGACACGGUUCAAGAUUGGUGGCUGAAGACGAUCAACACGGGAGGGCAUAUCAAUAAAGCGAUUGGCUCUGUUCUGAUGCUUGUCAUGUGGGAAAUUUGGAAGGAGCGAAACGCAAGAGUUUUUCGCAACACGGCUUCACCGACCACUAUUAUCACUGCCAAGAUCAAAGAGUAGGCCUGUCUUUGGGCGUUGGCGGGAGCCAGACACAUGAGUGCAAUUAUGUCGCGAGAGUAG
rnacentral:rRNA from 1 species